UACGUAGGGUGUGAGCGUUGUCCGGAAUUACUGGGCGUAAAGAGCUCGUAGGUGGUUUGUCGCGUUGUCCGUGAAAACUCACAACUCAAUUGUGGGCGUGCGGGCGAUACGGGCAGACUGGAGUACUGCAGGGGAGACUGGAAUUCCUGGUGUAGCGGUGGAAUGCGCAGAUAUCAGGAGGAACACCGGUGGCGAAGGCGGGUCUCUGGGCAGUAACUGACGCUGAGGAGCGAAAGCGUGGGGAGCAAACAGG
rnacentral:rRNA from 1 species